GGAGAGAUGGCUGAGUGGUCGAAAGCGGCGGUCUUGAAAACCGUUGUCUCGCUAAAACGGGACCGAGGGUUCGAAUCCCUCUCUCUCCUCCA
rnacentral:tRNA from 1 species